UACGAAGGGGGCUAGCGUUGCUCGGAAUUACUGGGCGUAAAGGGCGCGUAGGCGGAUGUUUAAGUCGGGGGUGAAAGCCCGGGGCUCAACCUCGGAAUUGCCUUCGAUACUGGACAUCUUGAGUACGGGAGUGGUGAGUGGAACUCCGAGUGUAGAGGUGAAAUUCGUAGAUAUUCGGAAGAACACCAGUGGCGAAGGCGACUCACUGGCCCGUUACUGACGCUGAGGCGCGAAAGCGUGGGGAGCAAACAGG
rnacentral:rRNA from 1 species